GACGAACGCUGGCGGCGUGCUUAACACAUGCAAGUCGAACGGAAAGGCCCUGCUUUUGUGGGGUGCUCGAGUGGCGAACGGGUGAGCAACACGUGAGUAACCUGCCCUUGACUUUGGGAUAACCUCAGGAAACUGGGGCUAAUACCGGAUAGGAGCUCCUGCUGCAUGGUGGGGGUUGGAAAGUUUCGGCGGUUGGGGAUGGACUCGCGGCUUAUCAGCUUGUUGGUGGGGUAGUGGCUUACCAAGGCUUUGACGGGUAGCCGGCCUGAGAGGGUGACCGGCCACAUUGGGACUGAGAUACGGCCCAGACUCCUACGGGAGGCAGCAGUGGGGAAUAUUGCACAAUGGGCGGAAGCCUGAUGCAGCAACGCCGCGUGCGGGAUGACGGCCUUCGGGUUGUAAACCGCUUUCGCCUGUGACGAAGCGUGAGUGACGGUAAUGGGUAAAGAAGCACCGGCUAACUACGUG
rnacentral:rRNA from 1 species